UGGCUCUACAGGACUUCUCUAGAUCCAGCUGGAUUUCUUUCAGGAUUCUUUAAAUUGAACUCUUAUGGCUUCGUAUUUGAUGCUGGAACUCUUGAGCGUUGAUGGAAAUUGACUUGAACCAAGAAUGAAACGUUAACCGGGGUUAGGAUACUUCUUUCAUGAAAGCAGCCUUUGGUCAUUAGACCUGAGGAGUCCUACAGAAAAGCGGGGUUCAUCUCGAACCCGUCGCAGAAUAGUAGGCUCGAAGAAUGCACUCUUCCACCAAAGAACAGGCGAUGUCAAAUACCGAUAAGAGAUUGCC